rnacentral:rRNA from 1 species
UACGUAGGGUGCGAGCGUUGUCCGGAAUUAUUGGGCGUAAAAGGGCUCGUAGGCGGUUUGUCGCGUCGGGAGUGAAAUCCACUGGCUUAACUGGUGGCUUGCUUUCGAUACGGGCAGACUGGAGGUAUGCAGGGGAGAACGGAAUUCCAGGUGUAGCGGUGAAAUGCGUAGAUAUCUGGAGGAACACCGGUGGCGAAGGCGGCAUCCUGGACCAUUACUGACGCUGAGGCGCGAAAGCCAGGGGAGCAAACGGG